AUUGAACGCUGGCGGCAGGCCUAACACAUGCAAGUCGAGCGGAUGAAGGGAGCUUGCUCCUGGAUUCAGCGGCGGACGGGUGAGUAAUGCCUAGGAAUCUGCCUGGUAGUGGGGGAUAACGUCCGGAAACGGGCGCUAAUACCGCAUACGUCCUGAUGGAGAAAGUGGGGGAUCUUCGGACCUCACGCUAUCAGAUGAGCCUAGGUCGGAUUAGCUAGUUGUUGGGGUAAAGUCCUACCAAGGCGACUAUCCGUAACUGGUCUGAGAGGAUGAUCAGUCACACUGGAACUGAGACUCGGUCCAGACUCCUACGGGAGGCAGAAGUGGGGAAUAUUGGACAAUGGGCGAAAGCCUGAUCCAGCCAUGCCGCGUGUGUGAAGAAGGUCUUCGGAUUGUAAAGCACUUUAAGUUGGGAGGAAGGGCAGUAAGUUAAUACCUUCCUGUUUUGACGUUACCAACAGAAUAAGCACCGGCUAACUUCGUG
rnacentral:rRNA from 1 species